rnacentral:lncRNA from 1 species
UGGUCAAAUUCUUUUUUUAUAAUUUAUAAUUUAAAUAAAUAAUUUAUUUAUUAUAAAUUGAUUAAAAUAAUAUUUUUGAUACACCCACACAGUGUCACAUAAACUCCCCUCUGAUCGCGGAAGCUGUGGCGGCCCUUCUCGCGUUGCAACACGCCCGAAACCUUGGUUUCACAUAGCUCUCUCUUGCUUCUGACUCGUCUCAACUCGUCAAAGCACUUCAAUCGGAGCUUCAAGUAAAGGAACUCCACGGGAUUCAAUUCGACAUCCUUGAUCUAUGUUUAAGUUUCUCUGCAAUUUCUUUUCGCUUUAUCCCACGAUCUCAAAACACUGUAGCGGAUUCGUUGGCCAAGGAGGCCUUACUCUCCUUUGUACUGGGCCUGGCCCAACUCUAGUUUUCAAUUGAAUCAUCCAUCCUUUGCACAAAAAAAAAAAUUUGUAAGCGUUAUGAUUGCAUUGGAGAGGUUUACUUGUCCGUUCAUUUUUUGAAUUCAAAUAAUGGGAGUUCAAACACUUAGAAAUAUCAGCAUUACUAUAUAUAUACUACUAGUAUUCAUUUGUUUAACAUAUAUGGAUGGUCGAUUAUUUUUUUGUUAAUCAACGCCGAAGGGUAAAGAGCUCAUGUUUUUUUCGUGAUGUAGCCUAAAGAUUAAUAUAAGUUUAUUGCAAAAAAAAAUAAUGAAAAAUCACUUCUAUUAAUUUUGUUAACAUGCAAGGUCAAAUUACUUUUCACUCUCUAUCUCAUUUCUCGUCAUGCAUAUAUGUUCGCAAGAAUCUCCAAUGUUGAUAUAUUCACCUAUCUCAACUCAUAUUUACGUAAUGUAAUUUCUUGUAAUUUGCCAGUUCAUCUCUACUCGAAAAUGCCCAAUCCUAAUAACAUAGAGGUGUGCUGAAAAAUAAUGGGAGAAUUAGCCUCAUAAUAUUUUGCGUAAGAGUAACUUGGAAGACGUACAUUGACCAAGGUAUUAUGAUUUUUGUCAGUUAAUGGCACCCCAUUGGACCAACAAAUUAAGCAAUCCCCGCAUUCCUUUAAUUUAAUCGUAACAAUAUGUAUUAAACUAAAUAUACAUGCACAACAAUUAAUUUCAAAUACAUUAAAAAAACGCACAAGUCAUAACAAUGAUUAUUCGAGUUUAUUACUCCAUAUGCGACUAUGAACAUUUUAAUAAACUUCGACAUCAAAGAAGCUGAGACAUGCAUGCCGAAACAAGCAUUCCUCUUCUGACUUCUCUCGUCCACAAUUUUUUUUUAUUUUUUGAAUACUAAGGUGUUAAAUUAUUAUAUCUAAUUAAUUAUAGCAAAUAAUUGAAGGUAUAGGUCGAGGUUUUCAUUAAAGAAACAAUAGGCUCUCUAAUUCUAUAGAUCAAUUAUUGACCACUCGAGGAUUUACAUUAUAUUUCAUGCAUGUAUAUUUGUUAGAAGUAAACUGUUUUUUCUUGUUUUCAUUUCUAGUAAGAAAUUCUUAGUCCUAGUUUUAUUUUUGUCUUAAAAGCUUACUUGAAUAGUUAAAAAGUUCAAUACUUAUCAAAAAAAUAUUUAUACUAAUAUUACACAAAAAAAAAUAUGUAAAAAUAUAUAGUUAAAAGUUCAAACUAAAAAUAGAUGCUUUGAGAUAUUUGAGUGCACAUUACUUUAAAUUUGAUGGGAAAUCUGUAAACCAGUAAUUCUCUAUCUGCAGGAUAAUUAAUUUGUGUGUGGAGUGGUUAGAUUUCGAAGUCAACAGUUUAGUCAAAGUGCUGUCAGAAAAAUUACAUGCGGGGGCUGUAAGAAAUAAUACAUUUACAUGGAUUACAAAAACAGUUUUUAAGAAGAAAAAAAAGUGGUUUACCAAAAAAAAAAAGUGACGCUUUCAAAUUAUUUAAAAUAGAAAAGUGUUUUAUGGGUUUAUACUUUAUAGAAUAUUACACACAUUAAGAUCUAAUAUUGUUGCAUCUAAUAAUAUUUAUACUUCAGAGAUUUCAAAAUGUAGUGUUAUUUAAUCAAUAUUUUAAAUAUUUCAUAAAAUCUAGUAUUGUUCAAAAGUAUAACAUUUAAUUAAUAUUUUGAUACAUAAAUCUAUCUUUACUAUACUAUAAAUCUAGUAGAUUAGUCCAACAUCCUUAUUAAACCACCUCUCAAUGAAAAAUUAAAAUAGACCAAAAAAUUACAUCAGAAAUAUUAAAUGAUGAAUAAUAUAAGCAACUUCUUAAUGAUACACAACACCAAUCCUAGUUUUUCUAAUUUUUGUAACUUUUUUUUUUAUUUGUUUCUACCAAACUUAUCCAAAUAUAAAUUGAUAGAAACUAACAGAUAACUAAACAAUGCCACAAAAAUCUUUAUCAACCAUUGGAUUACUAGGGUGUUGGAUUUAUAUAUUUAUUGGUUAUUUAUGUAUUAGAAAAUGCAAAGCAACAUUCAAUUGUAAGUUUGUAACAUGCAUCUAACACCAAUAUCUUUUACUAAACUUUUGUAAUCCCUUAAACACUUUAAAAUGCUAAUUCAAAUUAAAAAUACAUUACACGUGAUACAUAGUUUUAAAAACAGUAGACUUAUAGCUCAUUUUCGUAACGCAUAUAUAUAUUAAAAUUUACCAAAAUUUACCAUUUCGAGUAAGAGAAUCUUUUUAAAAAUAAUUUUCAAUUUCAUUAAUUAAGAAACAAUGAAUUUAAUGAAAUGUAUAUUUUAUUAAAUUCCCAUAAAGUAUAUAUAAUUAAAAUAAUGCCACGUAAAUCUUUCUCCGCCGUUCGAUAAUCAAAUACUUUCUUGAUUAAAAAUGUAUUCAGAAAAUGUUAAACCAACAUUUAUCUAUAAACAAAGAGAGCCUCAUAUGUGUAAAAAUCUUCUUCUUAUCUUUCUUUCUUUCUUAAUAGAGUCUUUAAUUUUUACUCAAUUAGCUUUGGUAAUUUGUGAAAAAAACAACCAAUGAGAGAAGAGCAGUUUGACUGGCCACAUAGCCAAUGAAAUUAGCCAAUGGGAAAGAGAUAUAGAGACCUCGUAAGAACCGCCUCCUUUGCCAUUUGUAUCAUCUCUCUAUAAAACCACUCAACCAUCAACCUUUCUUUACAUGCAACAAAUCACUCAAAUAAUUAUUUUAUAAAGAACAAAAAAAAAAAGACGGCAGGGAAACAAUGGAACGUGGAGCUUCCUUCUCUCACUAUCAGCUACCCAAAUCCAUCUCUGUUAAUCUAAGUGGCUAUUUAUAUACUUGCCUCCAUGUAUAUUUAUAUGCUCAUGAAAAAUUGGAGACUUGCUUUUUGAUUUUUAUGAGUCUUUUCAACAAAGAAGUAGAGGCUUUCUUUCUCGAAAAUUAAUUUUAGAAUUUGUGAAGGUUUUGGGAAUGGCUCUGAAAAGACGAUUUUAUACAUGCAUGCAAGAGUUUGAUAUGUGUAUUGUCUCAUCAUGACUGAGUCAAAGUUUGAUUCAAAUAUUUCCAUGGUGUGGUAGAAAUUAAACAAAUCUUUCAUAUGUGUUCAUUGAAUAUUCCCGUGCAUGCACGAGGAAUGUUUUUGAGUAUCAAUUUUUUUGUUUUAUUUUUUUUUGUUUUUCGAUUCUAAAAACGUAGGGGAGGGGAUUUUAUUGGUUUUCUCUAUGAGUUUUCUCGUUGUAACGGUUGAGUUUUUUUUUUUUCCGUUUCAAAAUGAGAUUCUCGUUUCUCUGCCUUUAUCUAAAAGCAUCUACAGUAAAUUAAAAGACACUAAAAAACAAAAAAUUAAAAGACACUGAAAUUUUUUUAUACUUAAUAAACAUUUAAGUAUAUAUAAACAGUCUUACUAGUCCCAAGUUUUACAAUUCAAAAUUUAUUAGUAAUUGUUUUUUGGAAAAAAUCUAAGUGAAUUUUUGUCCAAAAUUUUCCUUUUACUGUGUUUAUUCUAGUGGGUGUCAUUAACUUUAAUCUUGUGAUUCUUUUAACGUUUACCAUUGGGAACCUUCACAUGAAAUAAAUGUCUACUUUAUCGAGUCAUACCUUCUUCUCCGUAAAUUAAUUGAUGUUCUUCUUCAAAAUUUGAGUUUCUGUUUUUUGUAAUAAACUAAACGAAAGAAUUUGGGAAUACGUGUUUAUACAAUUAUACUUUUAAAGUUAUAUUUAUGUCAAAAUUUAAGUAUUUCGAGAAGAGGAAAGAUCCUUUUGACAUUUUUGUUCUAUAGUUAUUACUUAUUAGAAACGUAACGGCAAGAAUCUGAACAGUACCUACUCAACGGGGUCCAUAAGUCUAGUCAACAAAUGUAGUUGACUAUGUCCAGGCCAAAAACGUACGGUUAUUAUUAACCAUAGUUAAUAGUUAAAAGUUAACCAUGGUUCGGUUAACAUUAAACCCUUUUUCCUCUUUUAACAAACCCCAAAACCUUUCUUCAGAUUUUCUCUCUGCUUUUCACAAUCGUCGUCUCAAUUUUUUCCUGCAAAAUUCCGAUCGCCAUGGAUGAUGGAGCUGUUGAGAUACGUGAAGAGCAACGUCGAUUGAUCGUGGCCCAGCAGCAACCACCAUGUAUGGCUCGUGAACAAGACCAGUACAUGCCAAUCGCAAACGUCAUAAGAAUCAUGCGUAAAAUCUUACCGUCGCACGCUAAAAUCUCUGACGACGCCAAAGAAACGAUUCAAGAAUGUGUCUCCGAGUACAUAAGCUUCGUGACCGGUGAAGCCAACGAGCGUUGCCAACGUGAGCAACGUAAGACCAUAACUGCUGAAGAUAUCCUUUGGGCUAUGAGCAAGCUUGGGUUCGAUAACUACGUGGAUCCCCUCACCGUGUUUAUUAACCGGUACCGUGAGAUAGAGACCGAUCGUGGGUCGGCACUUAGAGGUGAGCCACCGUCGUUGAGACAGGCCUAUGGAGGAAAUGGUAUUGGGUUUCACGGCCCACCACAUGGCCCAUCUCAUGGCCUACCUCCUCCUGGUCCUUAUGGUUAUGGUAUGUUGGACCAAUCCAUGGUUAUGGGAGAUGGUCGGUUCUACCAAAACGGGUCGUCGGGUCAGGACGAAUCAAGUGCUGGUGGUGGCUAUUCGUCUUCCAUUAACGGAAUGCCGGCGUAUGACCAAUAUGGUCAGUAUAAGUGAAGAUGGAAUUAUUCUUCAUUUUUAUGUAUAUCGAUUCAAAACAUGUGUUUGAAUAGAUAUUUUAUCUUUGUAUUAUCAAUAACAUUUCUAUAUAUAAUGUUGCUCCUUUUAAGGAAAAGUGUUGAGUUUCAAUACUUUUCGAGAACUGAUUUAUAUAUGCAAAUGAAAAAGUGUUUUUGGAUGAAACUCUAUGCAAUAUUACAUGAUCUAAAGGUUUUUGUAAUUUUAAAGCUGCUAUAGUUAGAAGAUAACUAAACAUUAUAGGAACCAAGUUUGCUUUUUUUUAUAUAGUUAGAAGAUUUAUAUAUGCAAACAAAAAGGGUUAUAAAAUCAAAAUUCAAAAUGAAGCAAGUGGUCCAAAUGCAUUGACCACAUAAACACUUUAAUAACCAAAAUAUAGGAUUUUUGUAAGACUCUCAAGUCUGACGCACAACAGUUUAUGUUAUUUAUAGAGUUGACUGUACCAUUAAAGAUUUCAAAAAAAUUAGAUCUUUAUUAGGUUCAUUUGUUGUUACACUCCUCCUUCUAUAUAAUAAUAACCUCCACUCCUCUCUAUGAGCAGCAAUGUGAAAGAUAUGGCCCAAGUGAAGUCAAACCCAACAAAUGAGCCUAGUCAACAACCACAACACAAAAAGACAAAGACCAGAAAAGUUUCACCGGCUGAGAGUAUCUCCAACAGUAAUGUCUUGAGGAAUAUCUUAAGAUUAAAAAAAUAAAAAAUAAUAAAAAAGUAGGAGAGAGUGUAGACACAGUUUCUGGUUUGAGAAACUUUGAGAAACUGUGUCUCCACUUGUCAUUUUAUUAUUGGUCAAAUUCUUUUUUUAUAAUUUAUAAUUUAAAUAAAUAAUUUAUUUAUUAUAAAUUGAUUAAAAUAAUAUUUUUGAUACACCCACACAGUGUCACAUAAACUCCCCUCUGAUCGCGGAAGCUGUGGCGGCCCUUCUCGCGUUGCAACACGCCCGAAACCUUGGUUUCACAUAGCUCUCUCUUGCUUCUGACUCGUCUCAACUCGUCAAAGCACUUCAAUCGGAGCUUCAAGUAAAGGAACUCCACGGGAUUCAAUUCGACAUCCUUGAUCUAUGUUUAAGUUUCUCUGCAAUUUCUUUUCGCUUUAUCCCACGAUCUCAAAACACUGUAGCGGAUUCGUUGGCCAAGGAGGCCUUACUCUCCUUUGUACUGGGCCUGGCCCAACUCUAGUUUUCAAUUGAAUCAUCCAUCCUUUGCACAAAAAAAAAAAUUUGUAAGCGUUAUGAUUGCAUUGGAGAGGUUUACUUGUCCGUUCAUUUUUUGAAUUCAAAU